UACAGAGGUCUCAAGCGUUGUUCGGAUUCAUUGGGCGUAAAGGGUGCGUAGGUGGCGUCGUAAGUGGGGUGUGAAAUCCCGGGGCUCAACCUGGGAAUGGCAUUUGGGACUGCAAGGCUGGAGUGCGGCAGAGGAGACUGGAAUUCCUGGUGUAGCAGUGAAAUGCGUAGAUAUCAGGAGGAACACCGAUGGCGAAGGCAGGUCUCUGGGCUGACACUGACGCUCAUGCACGAAAGCGUGGGGAGCAAACAGG
rnacentral:rRNA from 1 species